AGCUUUGCGCAGAGGCGAUAUCGUAACCAAUGAGGUUCAACCGAGGUACGAUUAUUGCUAGUUGAAAACUUUAACCAAAACAGUUCAAUGAGUGUGACAUGUACACACGU